UACGGAGGGCGCAAGCGGUGCUCGGAAUUACUGGGCGUAAAGCGCGUGCAGGCGGUCGAGUAAGUCGGUUGCGAAAUCCCCAGGCUCAACCUGGGAACCGCAUCCGAAACUGCUCGGCUAGAGUCCCGGAGAGGAGGCGGAACUCCCAGUGUAGGGGUGAAAUCCGUAGAUAUUGGGAAGAACACCGGCGGCGAAAGCGGCCUCCUGGACGGUGAAUGACGCUGAGACGCGAAAGCGUGGGGAGCAAACAGC
rnacentral:rRNA from 1 species